rnacentral:rRNA from 1 species
CAGUAGCCGCGGUAAUACGAAGGGUGCAAGCGUUAAUCGGAAUUACUGGGCGUAAAGCGUGCGUAGGUGGUGGUUUAAGUCCGUUGUGAAAGCCCUGGGCUCAACCUGGGAAUUGCAGUGGAUACUGGGUCACUAGAGUGUGGUAGAGGAUAGUGGAAUUUCCGGUGUAGCAGUGAAAUGCGUAGAGAUCGGAAGGAACAUCUGUGGCGAAGGCGACUAUCUGGGCCAACACUGACACUGAGGCACGAAAGCGUGGGGAGCAAACAGGAUUAGAUACCCCCGUAGUCCCUGUCUCUUAUAC